rnacentral:rRNA from 1 species
UGGGGAAUCUUCCGCAAUGGACGAAAGUCUGACGGAGCAACGCCGCGUGAGUGAUGACGGCCUUCGGGUUGUAAAGCUCUGUUAAUCGGGACGAAUGGUUCUUGUGCAAAUAGUGCGGGGAUUUGACGGUACCGGAAUAGAAAGCCACGGCUAACUACGUGCCAGCAGCCGCGGUAAUACGUAGGUGGCAAGCGUUGUCCGGAAUUAUUGGGCGUAAAGCGCGCGCAGGCGGAUUGGUCAGUCUGUCUUAAAAGUUCGGGGCUUAACCCCGUGAUGGGAUGGAAACUGCCAAUCUAGAGUAUCGGAGAGGAAAGUGGAAUUCCUAGUGUAGCGGUGAAAUGCGUAGAUAUUAGGAAGAACACCAGUGGCGAAGGCGACUUUCUGGACGAAAACUGACGCUGAGGCGCGAAAGCCAGGGGAGCGAACGGG